rnacentral:rRNA from 1 species
CCCGUCACACCAUGGGAGUGGGUUUUGCCAGAAGUAGUUAGCCUAACCGCAAGGAGGGCGAUUACCACGGCAGGGUUCAUGACUGGGGUGAAGUCGUAACAAGGUAGCCGUAUCGGAAGGUGCGGCUGGAUCACCUCCUUUCCAG